rnacentral:misc_RNA from 1 species
GAUGAAGAACGUAGCGAAAUGCGAUAAGUAAUGUGAAUUGCAGAAUUCAGUGAAUCAUCGAAUCUUUGAACGCACAUUGCGCCCGCCAGUAUUCUGGCGGGCAUGUCUGUUCGAGCGUCAUUUCAACCAUCAAGCCCCAGGCUUGUGUUGGAGCCCUGCGGCUGCCGCAGCCUCCCAAAACCAGUGGCGGGCUCGCUAUCACACCGAGUGCAGUAGUUUACUCUUCGCUCAGGGCGUGUGGCGGGUGCUAGCCGUAAAACCCCCAACUUCUCAAGGUUGACCUCGGAUCAGGUAGGAAUACCCGCUGAACUUAAGCAUAUCAAUAAGCGGAGGA